rnacentral:rRNA from 1 species
UACGAAGGGUGCAAGCGUUACUCGGAUUUACUGGGCGUAAAGGGCGCGCAGGCGGCUUUGUUUGUCAGGCGUGAAAGCCCCGGGCUUAACCUGGGAACUGCGUUUGAUACGGCAGGGCUAGAGUUCGGGAGAGGAGAGUGGAAUUCCCAGUGUAGAGGUGAAAUUCGUAGAUAUUGGGAAGAACACCGGUGGCGAAGGCGGCGACCUGGUCCAUUACUGACGCUGAGGCGCGACAGCGUGGGGAGCAAACAGG